rnacentral:rRNA from 1 species
GGAAGGUGGGGAUGACGUCAAGUCCUCAUGGCCUUAUGCUUAGGGCUACACACGUGCUACAAUGGGUGGUACAAAGAGAAGCCAACUCGCGAGAGCGCGCCAAUCUCAAAAAGCCAUCCUCAGUUCGGAUUGGAGUCUGCAACUCGACUCCAUGAAGUUGGAAUCGCUAGUAAUCGCGGAUCAGCAUGCCGCGGUGAAUACGUUCCCGGGUCCUU